GCAGUCGACGGCAGCACGGGAGCAAUCCUGGUGGCGAGUGGCGAACGGGUGAGUAAUAUAUCGGAACGUGCCCAGUCGUGGGGGAUAACGCAGCGAAAGCUGUGCUAAUACCGCAUACGAUCUCUGGAUGAAAGCGGGGGACCUGUAAGGGCCUCGCGCGAUUGGAGCGGCCGAUAUCAGAUUAGCUAGUUGGUGGGGUAAAAGCUCACCAAGGCGACGAUCUGUAGCUGGUCUGAGAGGACGACCAGCCACACUGGAACUGAGACACGGUCCAGACUCCUACGGGAGGCAGCAGUGGGGAAUUUUGGACAAUGGGCGCAAGCCUGAUCCAGCAAUGCCGCGUGCAGGAUGAAGGCCUUCGGGUUGUAAACUGCUUUUGUACGGAACGAAACGGUCCUUUUUAAUAAAGAGGGCUAAUGACGGUACCGUAAGAAUAAGCACCGGCUAACUACGUGCCAGCAGCCGCGGUAAUACGUAGGGUGCGAGCGUUAAUCGGAAUUACUGGGCGUAAAGCGUGCGCAGGCGGUGAUGUAAGACAGAUGUGAAAUCCCCGGGCUCAACCUGGGACCUGCAUUUGUGACUGCAUCGCUAGAGUACGGUAGAGGGGGAUGGAAUUCCGCGUGUAGCAGUGAAAUGCGUAGAUAUGCGGAGGAACACCGAUGGCGAA
rnacentral:rRNA from 1 species